rnacentral:rRNA from 1 species
GACGAACGCUGGCGGUGUGCUUCACACAUGCAAGUCGAACGAGGUAGCAAUACCUAGUGGCGGACGGGUGAGUAACGCGUGGGAAUCUGCCUUUAGAUGGGGGAUAACGGGUCGAAAGACUCGCUAAUACCGCAUAUGACGAAAGUUGAAAGGAGUAAUCCGUCUAAAGAUGAGCCCGCGUCCGAUUAAGCUAGUUGGUAGAGUAAAAGCCUACCAAGGCGACGAUCGGUAGCUGGUCUGAGAGGAUGAUCAGCCACAAUGGGACUAGAGACACGGCCCAUACUCCUACGGAGGCAGCAGUGGGAAUUUUACGCAAUGGCGAAAGCCUGACGUAGCGACACCGCGUGAGCGAAGAAGCCCCUUGGGGUGUAAAAGCUCUGCAGCUGGAACGAAAAAAAUGACGGUACCAGCAGA